rnacentral:rRNA from 1 species
UCGCCCUUGUUGAUCCCGCCGGACCUGACUGCUAUCGGAUUGGUACUAAGCCAUGCGAGUCAUUGUAGCAAUACAAGGCGGACGGCUCAGUAACACGUAGUCAACCUAACUCGUGGACGUGGAUAACCUCGGGAAACUGAGAAUAAACCACGAUAGAUCAUAGUGCCUGGAAUGGCUUAUGGUCCAAACAGUUUACUGCCAUGGGAUGGGACUGCGGCCUAUCAGCUUGUUGGUGAGGUAAUGGCCCACCAAGGCGAUUACAGGUACGGGCUCUGAGAGGAGAAGCCCGGAGAUGGGUACUGAGACACGGACCCAGGCCCUAUGGGGCGCAGCAGGCGAGAAACCUUAGCAAUGUGCGAAAGCACGACUGGGUCAGUCCGAGUGAUUCCUGAUAAAGGAGUCUUUUGCUUGUCCUAAAAGCACAGGUGAAUAAGGGGUGGGCAAGUCUGGUGUCAGCCGCCGCGGUAAUACCAGCACCUCGAGUGGUCAGGACGUUUAUUGGGCCUAAAGCAUCCGUAGCCGGCUCUGCAAGUCUUCGGUUAAAUCCACCUGCUCAACAGAUGGGCUGCGGAAGAUACUAUAGAGCUAGGAGGCGGGAGAGGCAAGCGGUACUCGAUGGGUAGGGGUAAAAUCCGUUGAUCCAUUGAAGACCACCAGUGGCGAAGGCGGCUUGCCAGAACGCGCUCGACGGUGAGGGAUGAAAGCUGGGGGAGCAAACCGGAUUAGAUACCCGGGUAGUCCCAGCUGUAAACGAUGCAGACUCGGUGAUGAGUUGGCUUAUUGCUAACUCAGUGCCGCAGGGAAGCCGUUAAGUUUGCCGCCUGGGGAGUACGGUCGCAAGACUGAAACUUAAAGGAUUGGCGGGGGAGCA